CUCGGUCAACCCGUAGAUUCGAAUUUGUGUUUAGAGGUUGGAACAGCACAGUUCGUUUCUCGGGUAGAUCGAAU
rnacentral:pre_miRNA from 10 species